AGCUAAUGUUGGAUUUUGUUCCAGAUUCUAGGUUCCAGCUAACCUUGCAAUUUGUUGCAGAUUGUGUUCCAGCUAAGGGUGCUUUUUGUUCCCAAAUCUGUUCCAGCUAACGGUGCAUUUUGUUCCAGAUUGUGUUCCAGCUAAUGUUGCAUUUUGUUCCAGAUUGUGUUCCAGGUAACAUUGCGUUUUGUUCCAGAUUCUCUUCCAGGUAACGUUGAAUUGUUUCAGCUAACGGUGCAUUUUGUUCCAGAUUGUGUUCCAGCUGACGAUGCUUUUUGUUCCAGAUUGUGUUCCAGCUAAUGUAGCAUUUUGUUCCCAAAUCUGUUCCAGCUAACGUUGCAUUUUGUUCCAGAUUCUAUAUUCCAGCUAACGUUGCAAUUUGUUGCAGAUUGUGUUCCAGCUGACAAUGCUUUUUGUUCCAGAUUGUGUUCCAGGUAACGUUGGAUUGUGUUCCAGAAUGUGUUCCAGGUAACGUUGGAUUGUUUCAGCUAACAGUGUAUUUUGUUCCAGAUUGUGUUCCAGCUAAUGUAGCAUUUUGUUCCCAAAUCUGUUCCAGCUAACGUUGCAUUUUGUUCCCAAAUUUAUAAAAUAUAUUUUCCAGCUAGUGUUACGUUCUGUUCCAGCUAAUGUUUACGUUUUCUUACAAUUACAGCUUAUGUUAAAAAUUUCUAUUUUGCCGGCUCAUGUCAUUCUGUUCCAGCUAAAGGUAAAUAUUUAUAUUUUGCUAGCUAAUGUUAAAUCUUUAUUUUGCAGGCUAACGUUGCAAUUUGCAACAUUAGCUGGAACAGAUUUUUGAACAGUUUGUUCCAGAUUGUGUUCCAGGUAACGUUGGAUUCUGUACGUUCAAUGUUUUUAUUUUGCCAGCUAAUGUUGUAUUCUGUUCCGGCUAACAUUAAAUAUUUUUAUUUUGUUGGCUAAUGUUAAAUAUUUCUUUUCUGUUGGCUAAUGUUACAAACUGUUUUCACUUUACAGUGAAGUGAAUUUCGUUUCUGCAUUUCAACCCUUUUUCGCCUUGUAAAUGUCCAAGAUGGUGAAAAGACUUUGGGUCCUAGUGUUAGCCGUGCUGACUGCUGGUCGUCAACACAAAUCCUCUAUCCCUCUUUGACCCCAGGCCAUUGCUUACCAAAAGUGGUUUUGGAUCUACUCUGCUGUCGACAUCUCCUAUAUAUCGCUUUUUUGGCCCUUCCGACCAACACUCACUCGCACGAGGCAAUGUGGGUGAAGUUUCUUGCCCAAGGACACAAUGACAGAUACCACUCAGGUAACUGCCACCCGACUGUGGCACCUGGAAUUCUCAGUGGUAUCCCAUCCAACUACUAA
rnacentral:lncRNA from 1 species